rnacentral:piRNA from 1 species
AACAGGGCAAGGAAUGUAGCUAA